ACUGGGCGUAAAGGGCACGCAGGCGGUGACUUAAGUGAGGUGUGAAAGCCCCGGGCUUAACCUGGGAAUUGCAUUUCAUACUGGGUCGCUAGAGUACUUUAGGGAGGGGUAGAAUUCCACGUGUAGCGGUGAAAUGCGUAGAGAUGUGGAGGAAUACCGAAGGCGAAGGCAGCCCCUUGGGAAUGUACUGACGCUCAUGUGCGAAAGCGUGGGGAGCAAACAGGAUUAGAUACCCUGGUAGUCCACGCUGUAAACGAUGUCGAUUUGGGGGUUGAGCUUUAAGUUUGGCGCCCGUAGCUAACGUGAUAAAUCGACCGCCUGGGGAGUACGGCCGCAAGGUUAAAACUCAAAUGAAUUGACGGGGGCCCGCACAAGCGGUGGAGCAUGUGGUUUAAUUCGAUGCAACGCGAAGAACCUUACCUACUCUUGACAUCCAGAGAACUUUCCAGAGAUGGAUUGGUGCCUUCGGGAGCUCUGAGACAGGUGCUGCAUGGCUGUCGUCAGCUCGUGUCGUGAG
rnacentral:rRNA from 1 species